UAGGGAAUCUUCNNNNNUGGGCGAAAGCCUGAUGGAGCAACGCCGCGUGUGUGAUGAAGGCUUUAGGGUCGUAAAGCACUGUUGUAUGGGAAGAAAUGCUAGAAUAGGGAAUGAUUCUAGUUCGACGGUACCAUACCAGAAAGGGACGGCUAAAUACGUGCCAGCAGCCGCGGUAAUACGUAUGUCCCGAGCGUUAUCCGGAUUUAUUGGGCGUAAAGCGAGCGCAGACGGUUGAUUAAGUCUGAUGUGAAAGCCCGGAGCUCAACUCCGGAAUGGCAUUGGAAACUGGUUAACUUGAGUGUUGUAGAGGUAAGUGGAACUCCAUGUGUAGCGGUGGAAUGCGUAGAUAUAUGGAAGAACACCAGUGGCGAAGGCGGCUUACUGGACAACAACUGACGUUGAGGCUCGAAAGUGUGGGUAGCAAACAGGAUUAGAUACCCUGGUAGUCCACACCGUAAACGAUGAAUACUAGGUGUUAGGAGGUUUCCGCCUCUUAGUGCCGAAGCUAACGCAUUAAGUAUUCCGCCUGGGGAGUACGACCGCAAGGUUG
rnacentral:rRNA from 1 species